rnacentral:rRNA from 1 species
CCUACGGGAGGCAGCAGUAGGGAAUAUUGGGCAAUGGGCGCAAGCCUGACCCAGCAACGCCGCGUGAAGGAAGAAGGCUUUCGGGUUGUAAACUUCUUUUAAGAGGGAAGAGCAGAAGACGGUACCUCUUGAUUAAGCCACGGCUAACUACGUGCCAGCAGCCGCGGGAAUACGUAGGUGGCAAGCGUUGUACGGAUUUACUGGGUGUAAAGGGCGUGCAGCCGGGAAGACAAGUCAGAUGUGAAAUCCCGCUGCUCAACCGCGGAACUGCAUUUGAAACUGUUUUUCUUGAGUACCGGAGAGGUGAUCGGAAUUCCAUGUGUAGCGGUGAAAUGCGUAGAUAUAAGGAAGAACACCAGUGGCGAAGGCGGAUGACUGGACGGCAACUGACGGUGAGGCGCGAAAGCGUGGGGAGCAAACAGGAUUAGAUACCCGAGUAGUC